UCGCCUACGGGAGGCAGCAGUAGGGAAUCUUCCACAAUGGACGAAAGUCUGAUGGGGCAACGCCGCGUGAGUGAAGAAGGGUUUCGGCUCGUAAAGCCCUGUUGGUAGUGAAGAAAGAUAGUGGUAGUAACUUGCCUUUAUUUGACGGUAAUUUCUUAGAAAAUCACGGCUAACCACCUGCCAGGAGCCGCGGUUAUACGUAGGUGGCAAGCGGUGUCCGGAUUUAUUGGG
rnacentral:rRNA from 1 species